UCUCCUCAGCUACAACACAUUUCACUAAAAUCUUCAAGAAAUCACAUAAACAAUAUUAUAAAACUGAAAUAAAGAGAAAGAAAAUGAAGUACAAAGGUGCAGAUAUUGAGAAGAUUUUAGGAUGAAAUGGGCUGCGGUUUUGUGUGCAUCCUGACUUCUUGUAUAUUUAAAAAGAAAACUUAUCUGUCGUGGUUGUAACGGACAAACAACAUGGACCAAGUUCUUCCAGGAUGAAAGUAGUAGAUGCCAUUUGUUGCUGCAAGUGCAUUUUUAUACAGUUUUACCAAUUCAUGUGUCUCUUCAUUAUUGGUUACAAGUUACAGCAGUAACAUCUCAUUGGCUACUUUUGCUAUCAUGGAUGUUACUCUUUUACUCCCUUCUCUCUCACAGAAAAGGACACAAGAACACUGCAACACUUCUGGGAUGAACAUGGAGGCUGUUGUGAAAAACUGAAUACUCUCAGCAUUGGCGUGGUCUUUACUGCUAGAUUCUUUCACAAAUAGGUUAGUAAAACUUUGGACAAGUUAAACCAUGG